UUGACCUCGGAUCAGGUAGGGAUACCCGCUGAACUUAAGCAUAUCAAUAAGCGGAGGAAGUG
rnacentral:rRNA from 1 species